GCAGUAUCGUAUGUCACACUUUUGGCUUCGAUGUAUCCAGAGUCCACAGAGGCUACAGAUGUUCCUUGGGUCAGAUGUUGUGAUUAUUCUUGACAUGAAAAAAUGUGAGUUAUGUUUUCAUGUUACAAAGAAGCAAUUUUAUGCAGCACCCACCAUAGACAGCCAUGUGCAUAUUGGAGCCUUUACCUCUGGUGUUCCUGGAGAUCUCUGAAGAGAAAACACUUGGAUAACAGGUAGGACAUGGAACCAAAGAGUAUUUCCUGCCCCCUAAGUGUGACUGUGAACACUGAUUUACAGAGAUGGGUUUAUUCUGCCCCCCACAGCAGCUCAGGAGGUCACUGUCCUGAGGAUAACCUGACUUACUGUUGAAGAUUGAGACAAAGAAGAAAGGAAAUAGUAGUCAGAUCUGCGCUGUGUUUUGAUCUAAGCAAACACUAGAUUCAGUUUGAUUUUUUGCCUUCACAGAUGAUAUGGGAAUGGGAUCAUUUUUCUGGGAUUUUGGGGUUCUGCCUGCCUCUGUUGGGACAGGAACUCCAGCUGUCUGCCUGCUGCUCAGAAAGCCCAGACGGACCAGCAGUACACAGGCACAGCUCCUGUGGAGUGG